GGAAACUGAGUUUAAGAGUUUAAACCAAAUGGACGGGUCCGAAAGUUCUACUGAUCGCUAAGUGCGCUCCUCACGAACCGUCCCACUAGGACCCGCGACGUCACCUGUAAUGGGGGUGGGGGGUAAGAACGUGUACACAUGUCUCCCCUCCUAGUGGGUACCGCAAGCCGGCGAGGGCGAGGGGUACUCACCAGUCACAGAGAAUAAACAAAGGCAUGGGUAAGGAUAAUACAGUAGCAACGAUAAUAAACGAACGAGAUAUGUAUAAAUGAACAACUACCGCUACUGUAUGUAUGCAUCAACCGGACGACAAGUCCAAAAUACCCAAUCUGAAACUGCCCUAUCGGUCCGUAGACCUCAGACCUGUGCCACAACUGCUCUAACCUGUA
rnacentral:lncRNA from 1 species